CUCGGGUGGCAUUGGAAAGGACAGAUCAUGAUGGACUCAUUGGACUGACAGGGAAGAGAGAAAUUUGAUGAUGAAUAUGAUGAAGUUACUAAUGACAGCAAAAUAACAGAUGAAGAGUUUAACGAGAGCUUUGCUGAUAAUCAUCAAAUUAUAAAAUGUACAUCAAAAAGUGUUGAUAGAAAAUAUGUGUUUCAUUUACCCGACACAUCCCAGGGACUCAAAGUAUCCUGAGGUACGUUAUUCCACUCAUCAUCCUGCCCCUCCCCCACCUCCUCUGGUCUCUUGUACAGCUGUGUGUUUGGUACCAAUACAACAAGGUUAGGACACACAGUCAGUGU